rnacentral:lncRNA from 1 species
AUGGCUCCAUUGUCUGAGACCUUCUUCAAUCACAUCCCUGUUACCGUGCAGACGAGUGCAUUUCUGGCCUGGGAACCCUGUCUCCCAGGCAACCCGGCUCGCUCACAAAAACAUACCACUUCGCAGAAGAGCACAUUAGAAUUAAAUAUAAAACCAAGGCUUUUCCAUCUUUCUCCAUGUGUUUGGGCUACGCCAACUUUAUUUACAGAGUCGCUGAGGCCAAGGAAGACAUCCCUUCUCGGGGGACAACCGCCUGUGCUGAGCAAAACAGCGGGAAGAAAAGGCUCUCAGACACGGUCAGAAGGAAAAAAGCAAGAGCUGGAGAGCCACACCACGUAGAAGAUGAACAGCAACUGCCUCCCUUCUCGUUUUAAUGUAAGAUAUCUUGUAAAUACAAGAUUUUGUAGGCUCAGCUUGAAAAAUAUGUAUAAAGCAAAUACCCUUGGAACCAUCAUCAAAGUCAGACACACAUCAGGGCCAGGGUCUCAGAGGCCCAUCCCUCGUGAGGCCCUCCUGGUCACAGUUUCACGGGAGCAG